rnacentral:tRNA from 1 species
UAGCUUAGUUGGUAGAGCACAAGGCUCCUCACCUUGUGGUCUUGGGUUCAAGUCCCAU